UUGAAAAUAUAUUGGAGUAUUUUUAGUUUAAAGUUGUAUGCCUUCGUUGAAACUUGGUUGUGUUUGUAUUUCUACUUGAAUCAAGUAGAUAUGAUUAAUAAAGUUUUAAUGGUGUGGUUAGCUAGAUUAUUUUACUCUAAUAAGUAACUUAAUUGUUAAGUAAACUUGAAUGCUUAAAAAAACUAGAUUAAGUUUUUAAUUCUACUUAAUUAUCAACUGCUUUUAACGCAAAAAAAUCUAUUUGGAUUUGAAAAAAGGGAACAACAUUCUCAGACUUUUUCUUCUUUAACUCUAAAAAUUAAAAAUAAUAUCAGUGGUUUUUAAAAAAGGAAUUACUAUAGUUAAAAAAGGCUGAAAGGAAAAAAUAUAAUGAUUUGUUUCAAGAAAGGGAGUGACUUACUUCAAAAUGUCAUUUUAAAAUUUUUAUUCUUUAAUGAUAUUCUGGUGUUAUUACCAAAUGUUUAGCAGUAUGAAACCUAUAAUAUUAUAUACCAUACUAUAUACCCUAUUUUACUUAUAAAGUUAAUAAUCUGUAAAGUAAUUUGUAAAAAUUUUUUAAUUGUAAAAUUGCUACAUGAGAAGACAAGUUGUUAGAUGAAAUUCAAAUAUUCUCUAUGUUUGUGUUGUGUAGGUCAAAAAAUAAUAAACAAAGAUGAUAUUGAUUGUGAUGACCAAGAGAUUCAUUUUAAGACACAUCAAUCUUCAUCAUCUUUAAAUAAAAAGGAUAAACAUUAUGGAUUUCCAUUAUCUCAAGCAAACUUUCAAUAUUAUGUGUUGCUUCUCUUAAAUGAGAUAAAAACCCAAGGAUGCAAAAAACUUAAUAUAAAAUAGUGUGAAGAAGAAGUAGUAACUGAAAUUAACAGCAUAAUAGAAUUUGAUAAGUUUGACUCAGCACUUGACAAUGUUUCAUCUAGUAACUCUGUAGUAUCUCUGCAGUUGUAAAUUGCUAAAUACUGA